GAUGAACGCUGGCGGCGUGCUUAACACAUGCAAGUCGAACGGACUUCAGGAAAAGCUUGCUUUUCCAAAAAGUUAGUGGCGAACGGGUGAGUAACACGUGGGCAACCUGCCCUACACACAGGAAUAACAAUGAGAAAUCAUUGCUAAUACCGGAUAAGCUUACAAUGUCGCAUGGCAAAGUAAGAAAAGAUUUAUCGGUGUAGGAUGGGCCCGCGUCUGAUUAGCUAGUUGGUAAGGUAAUGGCUUACCAAGGCGACGAUCAGUAGCCGACUUGAGAGAGUGAUCGGCCACAUUGGGGACUGAGACACGGCCCAAACUCCUACGGGAGGCAGCAGUGGGGAAUAUUGCACAAUGGGGGAAACCCUGAUGCAGCAACGCCGCGUGAAGGAAGAAGGUCUUCGGAUUGUAAAAGCACUUUAAGUCGUGAAGAAGGGUUGUAGUAACGAUACAACUUUGACAUUAG
rnacentral:rRNA from 1 species